CAUCAUCUGAGGUGGACAGGAAGCCCAGCCAAGCCACUGGGGCCGACCCCUCCCCUGGACUCACCUGCUCCUGAGCCACACACCCUCCAGGCACUACCCACAGCAGUUCUAGGGGUGGGUCCUGGGAAGACUCCCCUCUGCUCCCCAAAACCCCAAGGCCUGGCUCGGGGCCACUGGAGCCGCAGGCAGGACACAUGUGUGACCGGCUCUGUGCCCCCGGCAGCCCCGCGCCGUGUACUGUAAGGACGUGCUGGACAUUGAGCAGUUCUCCACUGUGAAGGGCGUCAAUCUGGACCACACAGAUGACGACUUCUACUCCAAGUUCUCCACGGGCUCUGUGUCCAUCCCGUGGCAAAAUGAGAUGAUAGAAACAGAAUGCUUUAAGGAGCUGAACGUGUUUGGACCUAAUGGUACCCUCUCGCCAGAUCUGAACAGAAAUCACCCUCCGGAACCGCCAAAGAAAGGGCUGCUCCAGAGAAUCUUCAAGCGUCAGCAUCAGAACAAUUCCAAGAGUUCGCCCAGCUCCAAGACCAGUUUUAACCACCACAUAAACUCAAACCAUGUCAGCUCGAACUCCACCGGAAGCAGCUAGUUUCGGCUCUGGCCUCAAAGUCCGCAGUGGAACCAGCCCAGACCCUUCUCCUUAGAAGCGGAAGUAGUGGAGCCCCUGCUCUGGUGGGGCUGCCAGGGGAGCCCCCUGGGAGCCGGGGAAGGAGGCCGUCCAUCCCGUUGACGUAGAACCUCGAGGUUUCUCAAAGAAAUUUCCACUCAGGUCUGUUUUCUGAGGCGGCCCCCGCCGGGGUGGAUUGGAUUUGUCUUUGGUGAACAUUGCAAUAGAAAUCCAAUUGGAUACGACAACUUGCACGUAUUUUAAUAGCGUCAUAACUAGAACUGAAUUUUGUCUUUAUGAUUUUUAAAGAAAAGUUUUGUAAAUUUCUCUACUGUCUCAGUUUACAUUUUGUAUAUUUGUAUUUAAAUGAAAGUGAGACUUUGAGGAUGUAUAUUUUCUGUGCAGCCACUGUUAAGCCAUGUGUUCCAAGGCAUUUUAGCGGGGAGGGGGUUACCAAAAAAAAAAAAAUGUGACUCAAGACUUCCAGAGCCUCAGAUGAGAAAAUGUCUUUAUUAAAUGUAGAAAGUGAUCCACACUUCACCUUUGAAGGAUUGGUUGUAUUUACCCACAUCUAUCCCUGGAGCCAUUUCCUCACAUUGGUGUCACCCUUCUGUCGGCUUGGAACAAUCUGAAUUAAAUGUUCCAGACACAUGUGGGACUUCUCCCUCCCAGCCAGAAUGUCCUCUCCUGGGGCCCUCGGAGUCGCCUAGGCUGAGCCCUUCUCCUCGAGGGGCACGCCGAGCCACCGUUGUACCCACCUCUGUCUGCUCUUCCUUCAGGAAGGUGGCUGGCGCGCGGAUCUAGAUGUUUGCAGCCUGGUGGGCAAUGGGCCUCUUUCCUUCUAAGCAGGUCCUGACUGCUAAAGCCAGUCAUUUUCAAGAGGUUUGCAUUGGGGGAUUUUUGCUCUAUUUUUAACAGAAGCAUAGGAUCGUAAAGAUUUGUCAUGAAACCCCAAGUGUCCCAAAGCCUCCGGGCCCACGGGAGCAUCGGGAAGUGAGGCAGUGCGCUCAUCCUGACGGAGCAGCGUCGUGUCUGUAGUGGGGAGGGAGGCUGGCCCAGGGGCCCGGCAUGUUCCUGAAGCGUUCACAGGGUUUCGAGACCUUCACAGCCCCAUCAAUGUGCUGGCCCAUGUGGCAUGGAUGGGGCAGUCUUUCCGGGCAAACGAGGGGCCCAAGGAGAGACCAAGCCACCAAAGAGCUGAAGACAAAGUCAUUGUUCCUUCCCCAGGAAGGUGGGGCAGAGGCAAGAUCUGUCGGACAUUUCAAAGUCUCAGGCAGGAGCUCCCAGAGGACUUGGUGGCUUUGCCAGCCCAGGGGCCUCUGAAGGCAGCCCCCGCACCCUUGUAGCAGGGCUGUCCCUCCCCAGGGAGCAGCUGGCCACCUCCUCCUGCCUCGAUGAAGUGACCAGGGGCCAAUCUGCUCCCCCCUCCCGUCCAGGACAGGGUGAACAUUUGACCUCACUGUCCCCUGCCCGGCUGAGUCCCUGGUGUCUGACUCUGCCACCCAGCAGCUGCCAGGGUCUCUCACCAUGUGGACCCUGCCCUAGCUGCACCUGCACCUCCUGUCAAUAGUGCAGACCCACAGGUUCCACCCCAAACCACAGAAUGGGAAUGCUUGGGAGCCCACCCCUGCUGUGGGCUCUCAGCGGGGCUUUGGGGGUGAUCACCCCAAACACAUUUCUCUGUGUGACGCAGGCAGAAUUGGAGCACGAGCCGUGGGGAGGACAGUCAUGAGCACACCAGCUGUGAGGCCCGGUUUCCGUGCCUUACCCCCGGACUCUACCCCUGGGUCCUGGGGCGUGCUGCUAAAAGGGUCCUGGCCUUUGGGACUGAUCAUUUUGAGGCCCUUUUACAAAGAAAUGGGGGAGAAGAAAUAGCUGGGCUUCCCUCAAAUCUUUUUAAUAUGCAGUAUUUUUUUUGUUCAAGACCAGCUCUUGUUUUAUGAGGCUCCUUCCAUUACCUUUCUUGGGCUGAAUGCAAAACAAAUACAGCCAUAUUCAAGUCUUCCAAGGAAGUAGAAAACUCUUUGAAUGGUAUCUUAAGAUCCUUAAGCUCUUGCUGAACUUCCUUUUUCAAUGAAAAGAAGGACCAUCAUCCUAGGACGGUCACCAGCCCAAGCCACCACCCCAGCCACCCAUCCAGGAGGUUGGUUCCUUUUGCCCAGUUCAUAGCAGCUCAGUCCUUACCAAAUGGAUUCUUGGUGUUGGAAAGCAGCCUCUUUUUAUUCCUGAAAGGCAAUGCCCUGUCCGUUUGCAGUAGAGAAUCUCCAGGGAGCAAGAAAGAUGACAGAAGUGUGGCUGCCAUGUUUCUAGGUCAUGAGAGCUCUGGCAGUACUGUCACAAGGCCUGCACGUGGAUUCUAUGAUAACUUGAGUCUUCCAUCAUGUUUGCCACCAGCCCUCCCUGAGUGCCCAGAGGAGAUGGGGGCAGAGUCACUUGGCAUACUAAAGCCUCCUGUUCCUUCUGGCUCAUGCAUUGCUUUGUGGUAAGAGAAAGGAAGUCUUUAGAACAGCACCUGGGAAUCAGCCCUUCUCCCUACUGAGUCCCCAGUCCUGUCCCUUCCCCGACUCGCUCCUCCUCUAACCUUGGUUUCUAUAGCCGCAUUUUUUUUUUUUUUUUGAGACAAGAUCUCGUUGUGUUGCCCAGGCUGAAGUGCAGUGGCAUGAUCCUGGCUCACUGCAGCCUCAAACUCCUGAGCCCAAGCUAUCCUCCUGCCUCAGCUUCCAAGGUAGCUGGGAUCAUAGGCAUGCACCACCAUACUCAGCUAAUUUUUAAGAUUUUUUGUAGAGACGGGGGUCUCACUAUGUUGCCCAGGCUGGCCUCGAACUCCUGAUCCCAAGCUAUCCUCCUGCCUCAGCCUCCCAAAGUGCUGAGGUUAUAGGUGUGAGCCACUGUCCCUGGCCUAUACAGUCAUUUUUUAAAAGAUAUUUUAAAAUUAAAAGCAAACAACACUGUCCACCCAUCCACCUGUCCAGGAUAAGACAUAUUUGGAUGGUGAACGGAUUUACUCUCUUUAAUACAUUUGAGCGCUUCACAGAAGAGUCUUUCUGCUCCGGGCAUGACAUUUUUUUCACCAGACAUUCACUGACUUCGUGACUUUGAGGUGAGACAUGGGAUCUCUUAGAAGCGUCUCUGCAACUGCAUUUCAGGAGAUGAGCUGCUGUCCCUGGUGGAUAGAGGUGGUCUCUGCCAUGGUCACCGUGAUGCCCUAUAAGUGUUUAUUGAGUGCCUUGGGGGGCACCCAGAAUACGACCCAAAAUAGCAAGAAGACCCAGUCCCCGCCUUGCGGAGGGUGCACUCGCACGCCACAGCAACCCAUUCUCUCCUCUUCCUUGGCUGGGAACCCAGGGCUCUAGGGCUGCUCGCUGCUGCUGUGGCCUGCGCGGCCACGGGAGGCUUCCUGAAAGGCAUUGCUCGGAGGGGCGGGGGCGGGGAGGCCUAGCCUGCCCACAGACACAGCUGUGAGGCCGGGUCAUACACAUACCAGCAAGCAGCUGCCGAGACAAAUGGUGGUGGGAAGUCCUGGGGACACACACAGCCUUUGCAUGGACAGUAGGAUCAGAGUAGGAUCAGUAGGAUCAAGUAGGACAGUAGGAUCAGUAGGAUCAAGUAGGAUCAGAGCCCAGGUGAGCCCCUGAGGAUACCGAGGCCUUCCCUUCCUGAAGCCGGCAAGUCUCCAUGCCUCUCCCAGGAGCCUGGCCCCGCUGCAGAAAUCCCUCCUCUUCCUCCACACCCUGUCCUUUCCCCAAAGGCUUGGGUUAUCAGUUCCAGCUACCCAUCGACUUUCCCACUGAGCCGCUGCCCUCAAAACGGAGGGGGCACCGCAGCCUCCUUGAGCCUGGCAUCCCAGGCCUUGCCAAAGGGGAUGGUGGCAUCCUGGAUAAUCGGAAAUCUCUGAGAAGAAGAGGAAACGCCUGAGUGACACUCAGCUGUCCUCUGGGGUCCCCUGGUGUGCAUGCACGUCCUCCUGAAUACCUGUACUUCCAAGAGGUGGUCUCCCGUUUUCAUAACCCAACACUCUGAGAUAGCAUCUUCGAACUUUUUAGCCCCAGCUGUGGGAAGAUAGUGAGUAUGAAGUCUGUGCAUUUGGAAGUGACAUCGCUGUGUGGAUUAUGAACACAGAGAGCUGCCAUCUUCCUGAUCACAAUAGGCCACGAUUGCAAAGCCGCCUCUCCCAGAGACCCCUUCUGCGCCUGCCCUCCCCACCCACCACCCAGUGUUGAAGCUCAGCGUGUGCAAGUCAGACCCUGCACAGGCCGGGGGUGUCUCACCUGGCCUAAACGUAAAGGCUUGUGCCGGAGACAGUGAUUGAAAACAUUUGAAAAGCCAGCUCUCCCCGGCAGAGAAAGACGCUUCCCCUGAAGUGGAGUCUAGAUGUCUUUCCCUAGUCCAUCAAGAAGUCAUUUUUGUAACAGUCCCUAAGCGAGUGUUCUCAAUUAGAAGAGUUUAGUGGCUGUUGGUGUUGUUAAAAUAAUAAUAAUCCUUCUAGCAUCCAAAGCUUUCUAAUUUUUUUCAGGGAGAUUUGGACAUUAAUGAAUGGAAACUUCCAUGGUGGCGGUCACUCCUGAAGGCAGCGGCUUCUGUUCUCCCGCUGCUCUAACUCUGUGUGUUCCGUCUACCGUGUCACAGUGCCGCUGGAUCUAGAUGGAGCCACUGUUGUUGUUUUUAAAAGAGAAAUAAAUUCCUUAAUGGAA
rnacentral:sRNA from 1 species